rnacentral:rRNA from 1 species
AGUGAACGCUGGCGGCAGGCCUAACACAUGCAAGUCGAACGGCAGCACAAGAGAGCUUGCUCUCUGGGUGGCGAGUGGCGGACGGGUGAGGAAUGCAUCGGAAUCUGCCCAUUUGUGGGGGAUAACCUCGGGAAACCGGGACUAAUACCGCAUACGACCUACGGGUGAAAGCAGGGGAUCUUCGGACCUUGCGCAGAUGGAUGAGCCGAUGCCGGAUUGGCUAGUUGGAGGGGUAAAGGCCCACCAAGGCGACGAUCCGUAGCUGGUCUGAGAGGAUGAUCAGCCACACUGGGACUGAGACACGGCCCAGACUCCUACGGGAGGCAGCAGUGGGGAAUAUUGGACAAUGGGCGCAAGCCUGAUCCAGCCAUGCCGCGUGUGCGAAGAAGGCCUUCGGGUUGUAAAGCACUUUUGUUGGGAAAGAAAAGCGGCCGGUUAAUACCCGGUUGUCAUGACGGUACCCAAAGAAUAAGCACCGGCUAACUUCGUG